AGAGUUUGAUCCUGGCUCAGAGCGAACGCUGGCGGCAGGCCUAACACAUGCAAGUCGAACGGAUCCUUCGGGAUUAGUGGCGGACGGGUGAGUAACACGUGGGAACGUGCCCUUUGGUUCGGAACAACUCAGGGAAACUUGAGCUAAUACCGGAUGUGCCCUUCGGGGGAAAGAUUUAUCGCCAUUGGAGCGGCCCGCGUCUGAUUAGCUAGUUGGUGAGGUAAAGGCUCACCAAGGCGACGAUCAGUAGCUGGUCUGAGAGGAUGAUCAGCCACAUUGGGACUGAAACACGGCCCAAACUCCUACGGGAGGCAGCAGUGGGGAAUCUUGCGCAAUGGGCGAAAGCCUGACGCAGCCAUGCCGCGUGAAUGAUGAAGGUCUUAGGAUUGUAAAAUUCUUUCACCGGGGACGAUAAUGACGGUACCCGGAGAAGAAGCCCCGGCUAACUUCGUGCCAGCAGCCGCGGUAAUACGAAGGGGGCUAGCGUUGCUCGGAAUUACUGGGCGUAAAGGGAGCGUAGGCGGACUGUUAAGUUAGAGGUGAAAGCCCAGGGCUCAACCUUGGAAUUGCCUUUGAUACUGGCAGUCUUGAGUACGGAAGAGGUAUGUGGAACUCCGAGUGUAGAGGUGAAAUUCGUAGAUAUUCGGAAGAACACCAGUGGCGAAGGCGACAUACUGGUCCGUUACUGACGCUGAGGCUCGAAAGCGUGGGGAGCAAACAGGAUUAGAUACCCUGGUAGUCCACGCCGUAAACGAUGAGUGCUAGUUGUCGGCAUGCAUGCAUGUCGGUGACGCAGCUAACGCAUUAAGCACUCCGCCUGGGGAGUACUGGUCGCAAGAUUAAAACUCAAAGGAAUUGACGGGGGCCCGCGCAAG
rnacentral:rRNA from 1 species